UACGUAGGCAGCAAGCGUUGUUCGGAGUUACUGGGCGUAAAGAGCUCGUAGGCGGCUUGGCAAGUCGGGUGUGAAAACUCCAGGCUCAACCUGGAGACGCCACCCGAUACUGCCAUGGCUUGAGUCCGGUAGGGGACCACGGAAUUCCUGGUGUAGCGGUGAAAUGCGCAGAUAUCAGGAGGAACACCGGUGGCGAAGGCGGUGGUCUGGGCCGGUACUGACGCUGAGGAGCGAAAGCGUGGGGAGCGAACAGG
rnacentral:rRNA from 1 species